AAAAAAAACAAGUGGAAUUGUUACCCUGGAACUAGUACCCAACCAGAUUGGCAACACUUGUAAUUUGCCAAUGAGUCGGAUAUCCCAUUUUAAUGUUGGCUGCCCACCAAAUAGACAUAUCCGUGUUGCUAGGCCUUGGGGAAUGCCUUGCGAGAUGCACAGCCUCACCAACUACACCAUUUUAAGGUCUGUACUCAGAGAUCCACAACAAGACGAUAUAGUUGUGCAUUACGACUGGGAGAAAUUUGGAUGUCUACUCAAAACGCACUAUAAAAAUCAAUUUCUCCC